GUUUUGAUCUUCAUUUCUUGGAAGGAGAUGGCUAAGAAAGGUCAAAAUACAAGGUUUGAGGUUUUGAUCUUCAUUUCUUGGAAGGAGAUGGAGGUGGCUAAGAAAGGUCAUGAUGGAGAGGUCCUC